ensembl:snRNA Gm25935 predicted gene, 25935
GUGCUUGCUUCGGCAGCACAUAUACUAAAAUUGGAAAGAUACAGAGAAGAUUAGCAUGGCCCCCGAGCAAGAAUGACACGCAAAUUCGUGAAGCGUUCCAUAUUUUU